rnacentral:lncRNA from 1 species
GAGCUCCAAGUGGAUGUUAGAAUUCCUACGUUGAGGUAAAUGAAAAAUGAAGGAAAUUUAUCUUUGAUCCAAACACAUGAAUAGUAACACCAUAGAAAAAAAAUACUUCGAUUUUCCUCCACUUUUACAUGAACCACAGGAGUCCGAAAGUCCAAAUCAAGUCCACAGAAAUUCAAGAAGGGAGAAAAGGUUGUUCAGAUCCAACCACUACACAUUAACGUGGCCCAAGCCCAACCACACGAAGUCCAAGUUGCAAAACCACUCACUCAUCCGCCAACAACUUAAGAAACAAUCCAACCGGCGGCAACCCGUACCCAGAGCCCCCGUCG